rnacentral:rRNA from 1 species
AUACGGAGGGUGCAAGCGUUAUUCGGAAUCACUGGGCGUAAAGGACGCGUAGGCGGGUUGACAAGUCAGAUGUGAAAUCCUACAGCUUAACUGUAGAACUGCAUUUGAAACUGCUAACCUAGAGUAUGGGAGGGGGAGAUGGAAUUAGUGGUGUAGGGGUAAAAUCCGUAGAUAUCACUAGGAAUACCGAAAGCGAAGGCGAUCUCCUGGAACAUAACUGACGCUAAGGCGUGAAAGCGUGGGGAGCAAACAGGAUUAGAAACCCUUGUAGUCC